rnacentral:tRNA from 1 species
GCAUAGUUAGCUUGGUUGGUAGCGCGUCUGCCUUGUAAGCGCUAGGCCGCGGGUUCGAUUCCCGCCCGGGGCG